GACAGAGGGUGCGAGCGUUACCCGGAUUUACUGGGUGUAAAGGGCGUGUAGGCGGUCUCUCAAGUCCGAUGCUAAAGACCGAAGCUCAACUUCGGGGGUGCGUUGGAUACUGUGAGGCUAGACGGUCGGAGGGGGUAGCGGAAUUUCCGGAGUAGCGGUGAAAUGCGCAGAUACCGGAAGGAACGCCGAUAGCGAAGGCAGCUACCUGGACGAUUGGUGACGCUGAGGCGCGAAAGCGUGGGGAGCUAACCGG
rnacentral:rRNA from 1 species